rnacentral:rRNA from 1 species
UACAGAGGGUGCAAGCGUUAAUCGGAAUUACUGGGCGUAAAGCGCACGUAGGCGGAUAUUUAAGUCAGGGGUGAAAUCCCAGAGCUCAACUCUGGAACUGCCUUUGAUACUGGGUAUCUUGAGUAUGGAAGAGGUAAGUGGAAUUGCGAGUGUAGAGGUGAAAUUCGUAGAUAUUCGCAGGAACACCAGUGGCGAAGGCGGCUUACUGGUCCAUAACUGACGCUGAGGUGCGAAAGCGUGGGAGCAACAGG